rnacentral:rRNA from 1 species
UACGGGGGGGGGCAAGCGUUGUUCGGAAUUACUGGGCGUAAAGAGCUCGUAGGCGGCUUGUCACGUCGGGUGUGAAAGCCCGGGGCUUAACCCCGGGUCUGCAUUCGAUACGGGCUAGCUAGAGUGUGGUAGGGGAGAUCGGAAUUCCUGGUGUAGCGGUGAAAUGCGCAGAUAUCAGGAGGAACACCCGUGGCGAAGGCGGCUCUCUGGGCAACAACUGACGCUGAGGAGCGAAAGCGUGGGGAGCGAACAGG